ensembl:lncRNA
CAGAUUUUCUCUUUCUCUGAAUGUACAAAUGACAGGUACUCAAAGAGCUGAGUCAGAAGCACAUUGAUAAUUGUAUUGCUUAGUGCCUUUCCAAAAAUAUCUAGAAUGAUCUACCCACUCAGUCAUCAAGAGUGCCCUUAUGGAGGAUGUAGGCAUCCUGUCAAGUGAGGCUGUGGUGCUGAGGAGUAGGGCUGAUGUGCUCCAUCACCACUCCAGCUCUUGUGAAUGGACAUCUUCUGCUCUCUCAUGUACUUGGAGCAACCCAAUCAAGAAAAUCCUUCACAGCUGUGCCUAGUGGCUUGCCUCUCUGUCGACUGUAGCUCCAAUCAAACUGACAACCAAGAUUAACUAUGAC